UGGGGAAUAUUGGACAAUGGGCGAAAGCCUGAUCCAGCCAUGCCGCGUGAGUGACGAAGGCCUUAGGGUUGUAAAACUCUUUCGUCGGGGACGAUAAUGACGGUACCCGAAGAAGAAGCUCCGGCUAACUUCGUGCCAGCAGCCGCGGUAAUACGAAGGGGGCUAGCGUUGUUCGGAUUUACUGGGCGUAAAGCGCGUGUAGGCGGACUUGUAAGUUGGGGGUGAAAUCCCGAGGCUCAACCUCGGAACUGCCUCCAAAACUACAAAUCUGGACCUAAGUAGAGGCAAGUGGAAUUGCGAGUGUAGAGGUGAAAUUCGUAGAUAUUCGCAGGAACACCAGUGGCGAAGGCGACUUGCUGGACUUAUGGUGACGCUGAGACGCGAAAGCGUGGGGAGCAAACAGGAUUAGAUACCCGUGUAGUCCCUGAGCGGGCUGGCAAGGCGCAU
rnacentral:rRNA from 1 species